GAAAGAGAGAGAGAGAGAGAAUCGCCGUUCCCCUGCUCGUCUCUCUCCCACGAGCUCUCAGACACAGAAAUCCUAGAUCUCGCCGGCCACCGGGAUGGCCUGCUUCGCUUCCAUGCUCCGCCCUCUCCCCGGCCGCCGAUCGCCAGCAUGAUCCAGUGGGUGAUCCUCCUCGCUUCCCUCGCCCCCGCCACCGCGUCUCCACGCUCCUCCUCGCCUCCUAGAAACUCCAUGGCAACAGGGCGGCGGCCAUUGAGUUGGUGGUGGCUCGGGGUGUGGGGCGAGGCAGAAUCACACGUCCUCUCCGCUUUCGAGGUGAAGGACGGCGCAGCGGACGCCCACCUCCACCGUGCGUUGCAGGCCUGCCUCCAUGGCCGCCGCCGGGAAGGGCCUCGCCCCACCGCGCGUCGCCGGCCCCCUCUUUCCCAUGGUUCGGUCCACUCCUCGCCCCCCUCAACAACGGCACCUCCCUGGCCAAGACAAAGGGCACGGUUUGGGGCUUGGGUGGCGAUGCCCGUCGAGCGACGACGUGCACUGCUGCUUUCAGAACGUCAACGUGAGCUUCUUCCAGUCCCUCUCCCUCUCCAAGCUCGUGCGAUGUACUCUCCCUGCUUGGAGGUGUUGCUGCCCUUUCUGUCCCCACCCCCACCCACGACGGCCGGCCGACCAUGGCAGCCAAGGUGCGGUUCGGGAUACUGUGGUGAUAUUCCAGGCCACGGCCGGUGGCGCAGGGGGUUGGGCUGUUGAUGCUGUCGCCGCUGGCUGGUCUGCCUGCGUGGUGCUCCGCUGCCUGCAAUGGCACAGGUGUACUUGUGGCUCACAGAGGUUGAUCGUGGAGUUACUCCACUACCUGUACGUGCCAUCCCAUUGGACACUAAAAGACUAAUUCUGCAGUUAGUUCCUUGUUUCUCUCUUCAAGGCUUCUGGAAUCACCCCUGCACAAGUAUGAAUCCUUAUUUUGUUGGCCUUCUUGUGCCCAUCGCCUGAUGGAAGGUCCUUCAAGGCAUCAGGAUUGAUUCAGUUUCGUCACCAGAAGAAUGAGUGUGUUGCUAUUUUUACUGAGACACGGGCUGGGUAGCAGAUUGCACUGCAGGUGUCUCAGUGAUGAUCAGGCAGAAUGUCUCAGCAGUGGCAAUUAUGAAAAGGCCUAGGUGUCUCAUAGUCCGGAGCUAUUGCCACAAUUGGACUUUUAGUGCACCUAGACAUUCGCUUAGUUAGACAAUAGGUCCCGAGCAUGACAGGCAGACAUGAAAAAGCCUAGCUGUGCAGUGCGGUGCUGACAGGUGGAUUCGAGAGAGCGGCGUUGAUGGAUGGGAUCGAGGGCGACAAAGACCGUGGCGAGGGAUUUGGUGGGGCACUUCGGCAGCGGUGUUGCAUGGCUUCGGAGCAUACCUUGUCACAGAUGACGAUUCAUAUUGUUGUUGGAUUGACUCGGCUGGUGAAGUUUGAUUAAAUGAUCAACCAUGAAAAUAAUAGCCUAAAAUUGGAGAUGAGUAGAGGGAAGGGAGAAGAUGGAAGGAGAGGGAAGAAGAGCCACAUUUCAUCCACUGCUGGCCGCCGAUCUCGGGCUAUGGCAACCUCGCGCAUUCAGACCCGUUCAUUGUCAGCCCCGCGCAGCUUCAGGCCACUGCACGCCCUCAGCCACCACUGCCUGGGAUGGGUUAUUCAGUUCAUUGUGAUCCACUGUUGAUCUUUCUCGGAAUCAUGUAUGAACAAUUUCCAUCCAACAGAUUCUCAGGGCGACUCAAAAUUUCUCACAUUGGUUAAGUUGGGAAGGAGGAUCUGGGACUGUAUACAGGGAUGUACUGUCAGAUGGACAAAUUGUUGCGGUCAAGAGAGCUAAAAAGUUAGUGUCAUGCAUAUUACUCUUUCGGUUGCAGAUGGACAAGUUGUUGCACAACUUAUGCAGUUCCUGGGAGCACCUUUUAAUGCGGUAACGAUGAAUUUGCAGGUCCUAGAGAUGAGUUCAAACGUAUACAACUUUAUUCCUUUACCACAUCAUAAUUGUUUUAUUUACUCUUGGCUUCCAUGUUUUAUAUUAGUACAUAUCCAUGUAUAGGCUCAAGGUGCUAAUAUAUGCAUUGUGCUUUGUGUUGAUUCACCGGUUAUUUAAUACCGAGUUGCGUGCAUGUUUUCUUUUUAAGAAUGUUUGAUUUCCAUGCAAACAGUGUCAUUUAUGCAAAAUGCCAAGUCAGUUUUUUGCUAAACCAUAGUACAUAUAUAUAGCGGCAAUGCUCGUUUAGUUGACCUGUAUAUAUGUCUUUCUAAGUUUGUGUAUUCUGUUGAAUGUGUUCAGUUCAAUGUAUUUCAUUUAAUUGUUGGGAUAAUUACACCUACACUAUAUCUCCUUCCAUGUGCACUCUCUGUUGUGUUUUUUGUUUGCAGUGAGUAAAGAUGCAGCUUUGCUGUUCUUCCUUGCAUUGAAGCAUGUCGACUAAAACUUCUGCUCCUAUCAUGCUGCCCAAUGAUUUGUUUAAAAUGUGCUAAUAAAUAGAGGUCUAUGGUGUUCUCCGCUGUUGUAGCAGCAGUAGAUGAGGAGCCUACGAUAUCCUAUAUGCCCAACCUAUGGUCUAAAUUUUAUCUACGUCUAUGUAUGCCACGAACUACCGACUGAAAUUAAAAUUUAUCUGCUUUUAUGCA